UUUAAGCGCAGUGAUAAAUUUCCGUAUCUAACUUUAAUUGUCUGUUUUAUUUAAAUUUGUUAUAAUUAGUAUUAUUAUUAUUAUUAGAUGAUAAAACAUAAAUAAUACUUUAUACGUGACUUAUAUUUUUUAUGUUUUUAAAUUUUUUUUAAAUAAGACGAAUGAUUAAAAUUGGAUACGGAAAGUCAUGGUUAAGUUUAGA
rfam:Oryza punctata chromosome 6, whole genome shotgun sequence.